ensembl:lncRNA
CCUGUAAUCCCAGGUACUCACAAGGCUGAGGCAGGAGAAUCGCUUGGACCCAGGAGGUGGAGGUUGCAGUGAGCUGAGAUCGCACCAUUGCACUCCAGCCUGGGAGAGAGAGCGAGACUCCUUCUCAAAAAAAAAAAAAAAAAGGUCAGGCUGGUCUCGAACUCCUGACCUCAAGUGAUCCGCCUGGCUUCGGCCCCUCAAAAUGCUGGGAUUACAGGCAUGAAUCACCGCGCCCGGCCCCACCGUUUAUUUUUAAACCCAUAGACUUGCUGGUCGCGCUUCUGUGCCCGGUGGGGCUUUUGUCCAUUUGACACCACUUUUGCAGCUCGGCCCCUUGGGGCUGAGGGAGGAUUUGAGCUCCUCUGGCCGAUGCUGUCCACCAGUUCCCUGGCCAGCCCCUGCAGGAGCUCCUUUCUUGUUUCUGCACGGGCACCUCCCAGCAGCAAGCCCGUCCCUGCCCGAGCUGGCCUGUCCCUGCGUAAGAGCCGGUCAGCCCCGGGCUGUUUUCUCACAGCUCAGUUCAUUCCCCUCCCUCCUCCUCCAGGGUCUCUCUCUUGUUUUCCUCCUCACCUGGAAUGCCCUCGGUUCAGGCUUUCACCAUCUCCACCUGCUCCGGCUCCUGCAUUUCUUCUCCCCGUCUGAUGUCACCUUGUGCUUCAGUGACAUCUUGAAGUUUCCGGACUCCCACCCGCCUCCCCUCUGCUAGUCUUUAUGGGAGCCGGCAUCUUCUUCUUCGGCCUGAGCAUCGUUUUUUUUGCUUUAUCUGUAGAAGCGGCUUCUACCUCAAGAGCAGGGAGCGGAGCUUGGUUUCGGGAUCUCGGUGCUGCAGACUGCAAGACCUCCUGCACAGGUCGGUGCUGUGACUCAUUUCUUUGCUCUGAUUUGAGGCUUGGUUGGCUGUUUUGUACCCUGAAUCGAAGACGUGGGGUUGCCGUCAAGGCGGUUGUCUUGGCCUUGACCUGGGUCUGUGGGCUUUUUGUAUCCGCCAAGUGUGAGUAAUGGGGAGCGGGUGCGGGGGAACAGCUGCUAGCCCCUGGCAGAGUUUCCCACCCACGAGGCCGGGAACGUGGCACUCACUGGUCCUACUGGUGCCGGAGCCCCUGGACGGGGUCAGGGUGGGAAGCCCUCGGCGGUGCUGCCUGCCUUUCCCGUGUCUUCGCGCCGUGGUAGGGAGUUUGAAGGAAGGUGCCUCGGCCUUCACCCCUAUCUCCCGUGCACCUGGAGAAUAACCCGUCGCUGGCCCUUUAACUCUCCUCUGUUGGUUUACUGCUCGUUUUUCUCCCUAAAGAAUCAUGAGCGACUUUUAAAAUGUAGGAAGAGGAAAUCAUUUAAAAAUAAGUAGAAAGGCAGGCAGAAAUGUCCAGAAAAGGCAAAGCCGUAGGGACAGAAAGGGACUUGUGGUGGCCGGAGGCUGGGGAUGUGCAUGUGCGCCGGGGACUUGCCAGGGACAUAUAAAUGGACCCAGUGGUCGGCUGGGGGUGGCUGCAAACCUGGUGAACUUACUAAAAAAUCUUUUUUUAAAAAGUUUUAAUUUUUUUUUUAAGAGUUAGGGUCUUGGCCAGGCAUGGUGGCUCAUGCCUGUAAUCCCAGCACUUUGGGAGGCUGAGGCGGGUGGAUCACCCGAGGUCAGGAGUUCCAGACCAGCCUGACCAACUUGGUGAAACCCCAUCUCUACUAAAAAUAGGAAAAUUAGCUGGGCGUGGUGGUGCAGGCCUGUAAUUCAAGCUACUCGGGAGGCUGAGGCACGAGAAUCACUUGAGCCUGGGAGGCGGUGGUUGCAGUGAGCUGAGAUCAUGCCACUGCACUCCAGCCUGGGCGACAGAGUGAGACUCCUUCUUAAAAAAAAAAGAGAGAAGAAAAAAGAGAAAAAGAAAAGAAAGAAAGCUAAAAAAAAAAAAAAAAAAACCCAGAAGAGUUAGGGUUUGCUUUGUUGCCCAGGCUGGUCUUGAACUCCUUGGCUUAAGUGAUCCUCCUACUUUGACCUCCCAAAGUGCCAGGA